GUUUCUCAAAUCAUAUCAAAAAAAUAUAUUAUAAUUUAUCAAUAAAUAUAGAAAAGAUGAAAUAUUACUUACCUCGAACGUAUUCCAAUAAAUCCACAUAAUUCUAUAAAUUUUCUUUCAAAAAUUUUGUUCGUAGAUCAUAUUGCGAUAUCCCAUAUUCAAAUAUCCACAAUCCUAUACAGAAUUAAUUUCAAUAAUUAGAAA
rnacentral:lncRNA from 1 species